UAGAGCAUUGAACAGGGUCUUGGAAAUCUUCCUAUAGUUCUUAGGCCACUUAGAGACAACAUUUUGUUUUUAAUUACCAGUAAGUGCAUAAAAUCUUGCUUGAGCAUCUUAAAAACGCCUAUGGGGUCCCGGUCAUAGAAGUUUUAUAUUGUAAGCCUCGCAAAGCCCCGCAGCCGUUGUGCAAUGACCAUGCAGCUAGUGUACACAGUCAGAGGACCCAACGCAUCAACACGAGAUUGAAGAAGACAGAACAUUUUCUUUUUUUAUGUAACGUUAUUGAUAAUUGUUGUUAGCAGGGGCCUACUAUUAAACUCGAGAUACCGAAUGAGUGUUUGAGGCUGUUUAAACCUAUCACGGUAGUAUCGAAGAGUUUUUUUUCUGUGACAGCAGCAGUAUAGACUGCAGAGAUGAAGUCCAAGAAGAAAAAGCGACAGGAUGACUUCCAGAAGGUGAAGUUAAAGGUGGGAAAGACGAAGCCCAAAGCUGAUAAUGCCACCAACACCAACUUCCGCUCAAAGGGAAUCCAUCUAACCGAACAGCUGAAGAGAGACACAAGUGGCCCCACCACACACAGACACCUUGGUAUCAAUGACCUCCUGUCUCAGCUCCACCAUUACAGUCCCAAUGUGAAACAUAGUGCCUUGCUGGGUUUGAGAGAAUUGCUGUCCGUUAAUCCCUCUCUGUUAGAGCAGCAUCUCUCUCGCCUACUUUCUGAAGUGGCAGCUGUUUUCACAGACAAGGAUGGCAAUGUUCGUGUGGCAGCUACACGUGUGCUCAGGUUCAUUGCACAGUCUGUGCCUGCAGAACGAGUGGCUCCAUUUUUCCCCCUCCUCAGCGCCCACCUUACUUGUGCCAUGACCCACAUUGAGACAGGCAUCCAGGAGGACGCCAUGAAGGUCCUUGAUGUGUUGCUGGAGCACUACCCUGCUCUGCUAGCAGCGCGGCCUGCAGUACUCCUUACUAACUUCCUAGAGUUGAUCUCUCAUAGACAAAGUAGUGGAGGAGCCAAAAAGGCCCAGGAUGCUAAAGGACGGACCUGGGCACUGUCAGUCAACCCUAGCAGGGCUGUGACUAGUCAGCAGUGGCGGCUCUCUGUGCUCCUCAGGCUUGGACGCUUUCUGCAGGCAGUAGUUGAGGAAAGACCAGUGGAAAAUGAUAUUUUUAUGCCAACGGAAGGAGUGUUUGGCUCCAGUGGAGAUGGCAGGCUUGCACCUCUGUAUCUCAACUGGGAAGAGCUCACAUACAGCAAGGUCGGGGUAAAGGUGUAUGAGCAUUCUGGGGCCAAACCAACUCCACGGUCCACCUUUAGACUCCGACCGGAUGUGGACCCUGGACCCGCUGUGGGUGAGGGUCUGGACUCAGCUGAGGCUGUUCAGAGCUUUGCAGCCACACUGGUGCCUCUUUUGCUAGAAGUGUGGGUAGAAGCCACUACCAGUGACUGUCCCUGGAACACCACUGAGGGCGCUCACCUGCUCACCCCAGAUGCCAUGUCAGUAAUGUUCCAGGUGUUGUCUAUUCUGCAGCUGCUGAGAAAACUGGCACCACAGCAGGAGCACCAGGAUGCACUGGAUGCAUGGUUCUAUAAAGAAUAUCUGGGAGAUUUUAAGCAGCACUUCAUAAAAAACUUUCCCUAUGGUACCCGGGACACACCCAAACAUAAAAAGAAGGUUGAUCUAAAAAGGAGUAAGCAGACUGCUGCCGUCCCAGGAUUGACAGUGGACCCUCUGGCCCUAAACAUCACACUUUGCCAGGUCAUGGUGUCCCUCAGCCAGAGGCAAGGACUCGGUCGAGAGACAGAUGGAGACUGGCUAACACCUCUGAGGACGUUUGUCCGAGACACUCUGGGCAGCGGAGUGAAACUGAGCUACAGGCAACUUCAUAUGCUGCUGGGUACUGUGUGGAAGAUGGUUCUCACACAGCGAAGCAAAACAGUGACAGAGGAGCUGAUGGCAGCGGUGUAUAUCUACUAUAAGCAAAGGAACCUGAAUCUACAGACACGAUCCCUGCUGCUGUCUUUCUACAGCAAGCUCUACCUGCAGGAGCAAGGACAUGCUCACAUAGCGAGGAGUAAAGUGCUGUGUCGAUGGUUGGCAUCUCUUCCUGUGCAGUUGUCCCAGCUGGGCCACCGUAACCCUGCUCUCUCUGAACGACUUAUCCUGUCCAUCCAGGCUGCCGCUUCUCGAAGACAUAAAGACCUGCUCAACAGUCUGCACACACACGCCUGCAGGCUUUACGAUCCACAGGAAGGAGUUGUGGUGCUGUUACCAGCAGAGUCCCAGCAACGAAUGGUGCAGCUGCUCUACUUUCUACCCGAGAUGUCCCAGUCUCUUCUGGCCAAUCUGAGCUGUUGCUGCACCACUGGACGAUUCUCUGCCGGCCUCGCUGCCUCUCUAAUUCGUAUCGUACACCUUAGGUCAUCCCUGAGUGGCUGGUCUGUUGGGAGCCAGGAAGCGGCUCUGCAGGACGUAGACUACAUCAGCUUCUUGUUCUCCACCCUGACGGGAUUCUCGGCCGACAAGCUCGCCUCCAUGCAGGAGGCCGACGACGAGAGCGUCCUGCCUCCCUCCCCUCUCUCACCUCUCAGCAUCUACCCCACCCCGCUGGAGCACUUCACACACCACUGGGAUGUUGUUGAGGAAGUCUGCCACUGUCUGGAAACUCUGGGUUCAAAGUCUCAGUGCUUUGACAUCUUACAAAAUGGCAUUUGCAAACACCUGACCAAGCUGGGGGUGGUGCCUGACAGUAUGGCGGCCGGGCUGCUCAGAGCUGUAUCCAGAUUACUGGACCUGUCCGUCCUGCCCAUUGAGCCCGUGCUGCGCUUCUUGUCUCUGUGCUGCCUCAGCCUGCUGGCUCUGCUCAUCACCCUGGAGCAGGAGUUACCUGCCGAAACCAACCACAAAAGGGAGGCAAUAUGGAGUGCUUGUGUGUCCGCGUUGAGCACCGUUCCUCGCCUGCUGCGAAUGGUUUUGCAGUUAAUGCGUGUUGGCGAUCUGAGUGAGGAGGAGCUGCCACAGCUCGGACAGAUCCUGUCAAUGCUGCUGCAGCACACGCCGCUCCACAGCCAGCUGCUGGCCAACACGGCUCUGCUGCAAGAGAUCAUACAACACCUCACGAGGUAUUCCCGGGGUGCAACCAGGGAGCAGUGGUUGACAGACUUGCUCUACUGUUACAGCGUCACCGUGGCUCAUGGCUCUUCCGCUCGCCGUGGAAACCUGAGCCUUCGAGACAUGUACUGACCGAUGCACCCACUGGACUGACACCUGGUGUGUUGCUCAGUUCACCCUCUCAAACAUCUUACAGUGACUUUGAAACAACAGCGAUUGAGUACAUAUUACACUUUCAGACAGGAAUACAGUGGAGUGACAUGUUUUUUAUUGGGCACCUGAUGACUUUUGAUUUAAAAAGUGAAAAGAGGGGGGGAAAAAAAGCUAAAUAAAGUUAAAUACAAGUGCUCUGCC